AUGUGGAUAUGUACGAGGAAUAUGUUUAUCUCUGUGUGUAUAUAUAUUUCUCAUAUAUAUCCAUAUAUACACAGACACAUGUAUAUUCAUAUAUAUAUAAGAGUAAGGCAAAGAUAUAUUUACAUACACACACCCAUAUGCCCUCCUUUUUCCUGUGUGGCUGCCCCUUUUGCAGUGACCACCACGAGUGUCCCACGAACGGGCUCGCUGCCCGUAGUACUAGCAACAACGACGGAGGCGGCCGCGCUGCGCAGGCGAGUACCCACCUGGACCCACGCCCUUCCCGCGGGGAACGCGGGCGGCAUCGGCAGACCGGGGCGGCCCCGGGACGCGAACCCGUGGCCCCGCCGGCUCCGUUUGCGGUGUCUACCUGUAGGGGGCGCCCCCGCGCCUGCCUCAACCAGCUCGUCCCCGUGCCGCGGACGCACGCGCGCUGCCUCACGCGACGGACGCCCCAGCUGCCGUCUGUCACCGCUCGCGUGCGUGCGCAUGCGUGCUGGUGCGGACGUCGUGCGUGCGCGCGCCCAGUGGCCCAGAAAGCGGCGCUCGGAACCUGAGGCGGCGGCGGUUAGGCUGCUCCGCGGCGGGGGUUGGCGGUUCCCUGGCGGCUUCUCCACGGCGGUGACGGCGCCCGAGCUCCCCGCUUCCCGCUCCCAGCGCUCCACCGCCCGGGCCCGCCAGCCAAGGCCGCUCCCCAGCGCCGGAAGAUGUUGGCCGUGUCCAAGAGGGAUGGGAUGCGGGGUCUGGCGGUUUUCAUCUCAGAUAUCCGCAACUGGUGUGGUAACUGCAGCCACAAGUCUGAUCACCACUCUAGCACAGAGAACCAGAAGAGUUUAAAACCUCCGUGUCUCUGGCUGUCUCUACGCUAAGCAGAAAGACCCAGCAGUUCGAGGCCACCUGACGGAGUGCCUGGAGACCAUCCUGAACAAAGCUCAAGAACCGCCCAAGUUGAAGAAGGUCCAGCACUCCAAUGCCAAGAAUGCUGUGCUCUUUGAAGCCAUCAGCUUAAUCAUUCACCACGACAGGUAGGUCGGCCGUCUGAGGAGACACCUUCACCUUGUGCACGUGCACGUGCUCCUUCUUACUGGCAUGAGACUGGGCAGAUCACGCCUAGUUAGUUUAUCCACGGGCCUCCCUUUCAUCCUGCCCAUGUGAUCCCUGCUGGACCCUUUUUUUCUUUCUCUGCAGCCGGCCCCUCCUGCUCUGAGCUCACCAUGGAUUGCUUAGCUUACUGUGGCCUCAUCUUCGACAGGCCUUCUCCUCCUUCCCUGAGCGUCCCCACUCCUGAUGGGCCUCUCGUGAUGGAACAGAGAGGAGACAGGGAGGGUGGGAGGUGUGUACACACGUGUCCUGUGGCUUUGCUGGGCAUGAAGCUGCACUUGGUGGGUCCAAGGUGCCAGGGCAGUGCUGGAGACAGCCCUGCCCAUCCACACGGAGCAGAGGCACAGGGCGGGUGGCCGCAGUGCAAGCUGGAGGGUCUGCCUCCUCUAUCCCCAUGCCUUUUCUGUUCAGCUCCUGCAAUGCAGUACUUCUGGUCUGGCGUGGGUCUGGCAUGUGGUGCCAUGCUUUAGGGUCUUGUGAGAAUGAGAUGGCAGCUCCCAGCAGGCUCCCGAUAACCAGGGAACAUGCCAGGCUGUGGGCAGAGGCUCUCUACAGCUAGUGGGUACCACCCAUCAGCUACUGUAGCAUUUUUACAAAUGUAGUUUCCCAUGACAAAAAUGUAGUUUGAGAGUCAUGCUUCAGAAUUGGGGGCUGUUAAAACUGAAAUUUCCCAUUUUAGAGAAAGCUCUGUUGUCACACGAGGAGAAGCCACAUCCUGAGGAGACAGUAGAGUCAGAGUGGCAGCUGCUCUCCCCGCCUCCUCAGCCUUCUCC
rnacentral:lncRNA from 13 species